rnacentral:rRNA from 1 species
GGGUUGUGAGGUUAAGCGACUAAGCGUACACGGUGGAUGCCCUGGCAGUCAGAGGCGAUGAAGGACGUGCUAAUCUGCGAAAAGCGUCGGUAAGGUGAUAUGAACCGUUACAGCCGGCGAUGUCCGAAUGGGGAAACCCAGUGCAAUUCGUUGCACUAUCGUUAACUGAAUACAUAGGUUAACGAGGCGAACCGGGGGAACUGAAACAUCUAAGUACCCCGAGGAAAAGAAAUCAACCGAGAUUCCCCCAGUAGCGGCGAGCGAACGGGGAGCAGCCCAGAGUCUGAAUCAGCUUGUGUGUUAGUGGAACGGUCUGGAAAGUCCGACGGUACAGGGUGAUAGUCCCGUACACCAAAAUGCACAGGCUGUGAACUCGAAGAGUAGGGCGGGACACGUGGUAUCCUGUCUGAAUAUGGGGGGACCAUCCUCCAAGGCUAAAUACUCCUGACUGACCGAUAGUGAACCAGUACCGUGAGGGAAAGGCGAAAAGAACCCCGGCGAGGGGAGUGAAAAAGAACCUGAAACCGUGUACGUACAAGCAGUGGGAGCACCUUCGGGUGUGACUGCGUACCUUUUGUAUAAUGGGUCAGCGACUUAUAUUCUGUAGCAAGGUUAACCGUAUAGGGGAGCCGCAGGGAAACCGAGUCUUAACUGGGCGUUAAGUUGCAGGGUAUAGACCCGAAACCCGGUGAUCUAGCCAUGGGCAGGUUGAAGGUUGGGUAACACUAACUGGAGGACCGAACCGACUAAUGUUGAAAAAUUAGCGGAUGACUUGUGGCUGGGGGUGAAAGGCCAAUCAAACCGGGAGAUAGCUGGUUCUCCCCGAAAGCUAUUUAGGUAGCGCCUCGUGAAUUCAUCUUCGGGGGUAGAGCACUGUUUCGGCUAGGGGGUCAUCCCGACUUACCAACCCGAUGCAAACUACGAAUACCGAAGAAUGUUAUCACGGGAGACACACGGCGGGUGCUAACGUCCGUCGUGAAGAGGGAAACAACCCAGACCGCCAGCUAAGGUCCCAAAGUCAUGGUUAAGUGGGAAACGAUGUGGGAAGGCACAGACAGCCAGGAUGUUGGCUUAGAAGCAGCCAUCAUUUAAAGAAAGCGUAAUAGCUCACUGGUCGAGUCGGCCUGCGCGGAAGAUGUAACGGGGCUAAACCAUGCACCGAAGCUGCGGCAGCGACACUAUGUGUUGUUGGGUAGGGGAGCGUUCUGUAAGCCUGCGAAGGUGACCUGUGAGGGUUGCUGGAGGUAUCAGAAGUGCGAAUGCUGACAUAAGUAACGAUAAAGCGGGUGAAAAGCCCGCUCGCCGGAAGACCAAGGGUUCCUGUCCAACGUUAAUCGGGGCAGGGUGAGUCGACCCCUAAGGCGAGGCCGAAAGGCGUAGUCGAUGGGAAACAGGUUAAUAUUCCUGUACUUGGUGUUACUGCGAAGGGGGGACGGAGAAGGCUAUGUUAGCCGGGCGACGGUUGUCCCGGUUUAAGCAUGUAGGCUGGUUAUCCAGGCAAAUCCGGAUAAUCAAGGCUGAGGUGUGAUGACGAGGCACUACGGUGCUGAAGUAACAAAUGCCCUGCUUCCAGGAAAAGCCUCUAAGCAUCAGGUAACAUCAAAUCGUACCCCAAACCGACACAGGUGGUCAGGUAGAGAAUACCAAGGCGCUUGAGAGAACUCGGGUGAAGGAACUAGGCAAAAUGGUGCCGUAACUUCGGGAGAAGGCACGCUGGUGUGUAGGUGAAGUCCCUGCGGAUGGAGCUGAGACCAGUCGAAGAUACCAGCUGGCUGCAACUGUUUAUUAAAAACACAGCACUGUGCAAACACGAAAGUGGACGUAUACGGUGUGACGCCUGCCCGGUGCCGGAAGGUUAAUUGAUGGGGUUAUCCGUAAGGAGAAGCUCUUGAUCGAAGCCCCGGUAAACGGCGGCCGUAACUAUAACGGUCCUAAGGUAGCGAAAUUCCUUGUCGGGUAAGUUCCGACCUGCACGAAUGGCGUAAUGAUGGCCAGGCUGUCUCCACCCGAGACUCAGUGAAAUUGAACUCGCUGUGAAGAUGCAGUGUACCCGCGGCAAGACGGAAAGACCCCGUGAACCUUUACUAUAGCUUGACACUGAACAUUGAGCCUUGAUGUGUAGGAUAGGUGGGAGGCUUUGAAGCGUGGACGCCAGUCUGCGUGGAGCCAACCUUGAAAUACCACCCUUUAAUGUUUGAUGUUCUAACGUUGGCCCCUUACCGGGGUUGCGGACAGUGUCUGGUGGGUAGUUUGACUGGGGCGGUCUCCUCCCAAAGCGUAACGGAGGAGCACGAAGGUUAGCUAAUCCUGGUCGGACAUCAGGAGGUUAGUGCAAUGGCAUAAGCUAGCUUGACUGCGAGCGUGACGGCGCGAGCAGGUGCGAAAGCAGGUCAUAGUGAUCCGGUGGUUCUGAAUGGAAGGGCCAUCGCUCAACGGAUAAAAGGUACUCCGGGGAUAACAGGCUGAUACCGCCCAAGAGUUCAUAUCGACGGCGGUGUUUGGCACCUCGAUGUCGGCUCAUCACAUCCUGGGGCUGAAGUAGGUCCCAAGGGUAUGGCUGUUCGCCAUUUAAAGUGGUACGCGAGCUGGGUUUAGAACGUCGUGAGACAGUUCGGUCCCUAUCUGCCGUGGGCGCUGGAGAAUUGAGGGGGGGCUGCUCCUAGUACGAGAGGACCGGAGUGGACGCAUCACUGGUGUUCGGGUUGUCAUGCCAAUGGCACUGCCCGGUAGCUAAAUGCGGAAGAGAUAAGUGCUGAAAGCAUCUAAGCACGAAACUUGCCCCGAGAUGAGUUCUCCCUGAGACUUUAAGUCUCCUGAAGGAACGUUAAAGACGAUGACGUUGAUAGGCCGGGUGUGUAAGCGCAGCGAUGCGUUGAGCUAACCGGUACUAAUGAACCGUGAGGCUUAACCUUACAACGCCGAAG